CUGGGUUCAAGGCCAGCUUGGUACAGUGC
rnacentral:piRNA from 1 species